rnacentral:rRNA from 1 species
UACGGAGGGAGCUAGCGUUAUUCGGAAUUACUGGGCGUAAAGCGCACGUAGGCGGCUUUGUAAGUAAGAGGUGAAAGCCCAGAGCUCAACUCUGGAAUUGCCUUUUAGACUGCAUCGCUUGAAUCAUGGAGAGGUCAGUGGAAUUCCGAGUGUAGAGGUGAAAUUCGUAGAUAUUCGGAAGAACACCAGUGGCGAAGGCGGCUGACUGGACAUGUACUUGACGCUGAGGUGCGAAAGCGUGGGGAGCAAACAGG